rnacentral:lncRNA from 1 species
CAUCUCUCCGCCUUCCCCCACAACAGCCUCUGGCACCUUCCAAAAGGUCUCCCGGGGAGGAGGCAGCCACCUGCAGCCAGGGUGGGGCACCCACCAGCACCAGCCUCCCUCCAGCCAGAGCCCCGACUGGGCAAGGCUCUGCCACACCUGGGCCAGGUGCCUUGGCCUGCAGGCUCAGACUCCUAGGAUCCAGAAUGAAACAGGUUCCAUCCCUGGUUGCCAUGAGCCCAACUGGGUCUGAGAUCUAAGCAGGGCCUGGCACCCAGCCCCUCCACUGCCCAUCCACUAGGAACUCAUUCCAAGCUACCGGCUCCUUGGGGGAUCUGUGAGCUGCUGAAUGCUGGGAGACUGGGCUCCUGAUACCGACCUCGUGCUAAGAGCUGCCCAAGCUGGGGACACAGGAGCAGAGUGUCAAUCCACAGGAGGCCUCUAUCCUCAAGGGGCCACCAUCCCCGACAGGAAGCGCAGGCAGACCCCAGGCCUGUAGGAGCUGCCCCUGGUGACCUGGUGAUCAGUGACCCUGGAUCCUGGUUCUUGGGGGUCUGGACUCCCACUUCAGCACAGGAAACAGUGAAAAGGUUUGUUGCCUGGUAUCCUAGGCUCUCCAGCCACCAUGCACCCAGCUGUCGCCUCUGCUCCAGCGCUGUUUCCGGUUUAUGAUGUGGAGUGAACAGAACCUCCCUCAGAGCAUGGCGGUGAGGACUCCAGGUUUACCGUCGGCUGCUGGGCGGCAUGGGUAUCCCCAGGUCAUGCUUUCUUAACUCCAAUACACAGAAGCUGAGCACUUGUAGAGGCUGCUCUGGGCCUGGUAGAGGGCUGGCCUGAUACCCAAGGUCUGCCCCCCAAGGGACACACACGGAGUUGGGGCAUGGAGACCAUGAAGUUGGAGGGGCACAGAGGAGAGACAGGAGCCUGACCUGGAAUGCACAGAUGGCUCCCAGAGGGAGUGAUACUCAAACUAAGUCUUCUUUUAAUUUUUAAAAGACAGAGUCUCUCUCUGUUGGCCAGGCUGGAGUGCAGUGGCUCACUGCAGCCUUGAACCCCUGGGCUCAAACAGUCCUCCCACCUCCACCUCCCUAGUAGCUAGGACUACAGGCAUGCACCACCAUACCCAGCUUAUUUUUUAAUUUUUUGUAGAGAUAGGGUCUCACUAUGUUGCCCAGGCCAGUCUUGAACUCCUGGGCUCCAGCAAUCCUCCCAAUGCAGCCUCCCAAAAUUCUGGGAUUACAGGCAUGAACCGCCACAUCUGGAAGCUAAGUCUUAAAAUAUAAGCAGAAAUUAUCCAGGAGGAAGGAGCAGG